AUGCAAGUCAUUAAUAGAUAGAUCUUCAUGGAAAUCAAUUCUAAAUUUCCAGAUUAAAGGGCUCUUGGUUAUGGCUGUAUAGCUCUGGUUUAAUGCUACUUGAACAUGGGACUUGUGUUCAAAUGGAAAACGAAGAUAGUAUUGCCAUAUGCUCUCAGAAUGGAUAUAUGAAUGAUAGAGUUAUUUAGGUGACGCGCACCACCUGGUUGAUAGAAUGCUUCGCCUAGUGCUUCUGAGAAUUAGGACUGGCACUCGCAGCCGCAACCUUACACCUUCCUUCACCUCCCUUCAUGUGAUUCCCAGGUGCUUCUGCACCCAUGAAAAGAAGUCUUCUCUGGAUUUUACUCGAAUUGAAGUGCAGCACCUCCCAAGGGUGCUGAUUAUAGGACGUCCCAACGUAGGAAAGUCUGCAUUGUUUAACCGUUUGAUUCGGAGGAGGGAGGCUCUGGUAUACAAUACCCCGGAGGACCAUGUCACACGUGACAUCCGAGAGGGACUUGCCAAGUUGGGUGACCUUCGCUUCAGAGUGUUGGACUCUGCAGGCCUUGAAGCCCAAGCAUGUUCCGGCACCAUCCUCCACCGAACUGCUUCCAUUACUGCUAAUGUCUUACACAACUCUCACUUGGCUCUCUUUGUCACUGAUGCAAGAGCUGGACUUCAUCCUCUUGAUCUGGAGGUUGCCAAGUGGCUCCGCAGGCAUGGUCCUCAAAUCAAACCCAUCGUUGCCAUGAAUAAAUCCGAAUCACUCUUUGAUUCUGAUGGCUCGCUAGCCUCUGCUGCCAAUGAAUUGUACCGGUUAGGAUUCGGGGAUCCUAUUGCUAUAUCUGCCGAGACUGGCCUUGGUAUGCCGGACCUUUAUCACUGUCUUAGACCUCUGCUCCACCAACAUAUGCUUCGUCUCCUCAAUGACCUAGAUGACGGUGAUCACGACAAUAGCUGCAUUGGGGAUGGUAGCACCCCUGAGAUUGAAGAAAGUAAGCUUCCAUUGCAGUUGGCAAUUGUAGGGCGCCCAAAUGUUGGGAAAUCAACCUUACUCAAUACGUUGUUACAAGAAGAUCGUGUUCUUGUGGGUCCUGAAGCUGGUCUCACAAGAGACUCAAUCAGGACAGAGUUUGAAUUUCAAGGAAGAACAAUUUAUCUGGUUGAUACUGCUGGGUGGUUGCACAGGACAAAACAGGAGAAAGGAGCAGCAUCCUUGAGCAUUAUGCAAUCAAGAAAGAGUCUACUCCGAGCUCAUAUAAUUGCUUUGGUGCUAGAUGCAGAAGAGAUUGUAAAUGCUAGGCGAAGUAUGACGCAUGCUGAAGUGGUUAUAGCCCGAAGGGCAGUGGAAGAGGGGCGCGGCUUGGUUGUGAUUGUGAACAAGAUGGACCUUCUGAGAGGCAAAGACAAAACAUCAUCCUAUGAGAAGGUUAUGGAGGCUGUUCUUCAAGAAAUUCAAACAGUUAUACCCCAGAUAACAGGAAUCCCAGUCGUAUUCAUUUCAGCUCUGGAGGGAAGGGGCCGGACUGCUGUCUUGAACCGGGUCAUUGAUACAUACGAAAAAUGGUGUUCAAGAUUACCAACCGCUCGCCUUAACCGUUGGUUGCAAAAGGUUAUGAGCCGGCAUUCAUGGAAAGACCAGGCAGCACAGCCAAAGAUAAAGUAUUUCACUCAGGUCAAGGCUCGGCCACCUACGUUUGUUGCAUUUGUGCGUGGGAAGACUCAGCUCUCAGACACAGACAUCAGGUUCUUAACAAAAUCCUUGAAGGAAGAUUUCGAUUUGGGUGGAAUUACCAUAAGAAUCAUGCAACGUUCCGUCGCUAAGAAAGAUGCAACUGGUAGUAGUAGUAGUAGUAGUAGCAAGAGUAGUCAUCCGGUUUCUAGAGCUGAAAGGGUGGUGUCUGACAAGAGAAGCGUCUCAGUUGAAUGACAAUUUUGACUUUGAAGAGAAGGAUGGUAGCAACACCUCAUUCUCCAAAAAAUUUCAACAUUGCGUUGGAGCCUUGGAUGGUCUUGCUUGGGCAGUUAGGCUCUCUUUUCUUUUUGCUUGUCUGUUUUUUAUUUUCUCUCUCUCUUUUUUUUUUAAUUUAUUUAACUUGGGUAACCCCAAAAAAAGGUAGAAUAUACUUUUUGUCCUUAAAGCUUGGCAAGAAUUUUAAAAAUAUCCUUAAGUUUUAUUUUGUUUCAAUUUUGUCCCACAAGUUUUCGAUUUGUAUCAAAUAUAUCUUGGCAGCUAAUUUUUCAAAAAAUUUAGGACCAAACAAUUUUAUAAGAACAACUUUCAACACAAGUAAAUCGAACAUAAUUGUCAUGCAUUGUUGUUGGAUUGGUUUUAAAUUUUUUGAAAAUUUAGCUGUCGGAGAUAUAUUUGAUGCAAAUCGAAAACUUUUAGGACAAAAUUGAAACAAUAAAAUUUACGGGUAUUUUUAAAAUUUUUGCCAAAUUUCAAAGACCAAAAAAAUAUUUUACCGAAAAAAAAAUGCCACAUUGUGUAUAUAUUUAUAUUACAUGAAUAAUGAAUUAUAUUUUGAUGA